rnacentral:rRNA from 1 species
UCGGGAAUUUUGGGCAAUGGGGGAAACCCUGACCCAGCAACGCCGCGUGAAGGAUGAAGUAUUUCGGUAUGUAAACUUCGAAAGAAUAGGAAGAAUAAAUGACGGUACUAUUUAUAAGGUCCGGCUAACUACGUGCCAGCAGCCGCGGUAAUACGUAGGGACCAAGCGUUGUUCGGAUUUACUGGGCGUAAAGGGCGCGUAGGCGGCAAUUCAAGUCAUCUGUGAAAUCUCCGGGCUUAACUCGGAACGGUCAGAUGAUACUGCUUUGCUAGAGUGCAGAAGGGGCAAUCGGAAUUCUUGGUGUAGCGGUGAAAUGCGUAGAUAUCAAGAGGAACACCUGAGGUGAAGACGGGUUGCUGGGCUGACACUGACGCUGAGGCGCGAAAGCCAGGGGAGCAAACGGGAUUAGAUACCCACGUAGUCCCUGAGCGGGCUGGCAAGGCG